GCUAAUCAUAGACUAAAAGUAGAUUUGUUAGUAAUGUGACGCGUAACAUUUUAAUUAUCUUUGCUAAAAUGAACGAAAGGAACAUUUUGCUGAACGAGACUCAAAGGUCCGAGUCAAUAAAAUGAUCCGAACUUCCCAUCACUAACACCAAAUGAGAGAAUGGACAUGGAAAAAUGUGACGGUUUCAUUGGUGUACCACGGCCCACUUUAGACAACAUCAGCACAAGAUAGUCAGCGUCCUGAUAAGGUCAGCAUGGAUUUGGGUACUUGAUUCCUCACUUGCUGUGUCCUAUAAGGAAAAGAACUGAAGACUGGUGGGAAUGAGUGUUGUACCUAAAGAGAGAAAACCAGAUCCGAGGAUCUCAACAACACCAAGAGAAUGACUCAACAAAAGAGGAUGAAAGCGCAAGGCACGGAGGAAUAGAUGUCGGGCACUUUCUGACGAGUUCCUGUCCUCCAUCUCACAUUUGGCAGCCAUCAUCCACAAAGCUGAAAGAAUAAUGAAGAAAUAUUUCUGACCAUCUGGCUGAC